ACCUGGCUGGCUCAGUCAGUAGAGCAUACGACUCUUGAUCUCAGGGUUGUGAGUUUGAGCCCCAUGUUGGGUG
rnacentral:tRNA from 1 species